rnacentral:rRNA from 1 species
CCUACGGGUGGCAGCAGUAGGGAAUUUUGCGCAAUGAGCGAAAGCCUGACGCAGCAACACCGCGUGAAUGUUAAGCCCUUCGGGGUGUAAAGUUCUGUCAAGAGAGACGAAUUUUGACUGUACCUAUAAAGGAAGAACCGGCUAACUCCGUGCCAGCAGCAGCGGUAAUACGUGGUGUGAAAGCGUUGUCCGGAAUCAUUGGGCGUAAAGAUUUCGUAGGCGGCAAGGUAAGUCUGAUGUGAACGCACGGGGCUCAACUCCGGUUUGGCAUUGGAUACUAUCUAGCUAGAAUGUGGUAGAGGUAAAGGGAAUUCCUGGUGUAGCGGUGAAAUGCGUAGAUAUCAGGAGGAACAUCGGUGGCGAAAGCGCUUUACUGGACCAUUAUUGACGCUGAGGAACGAAAGCUAGGGGAGCAAAUGGGAUUAGAUACCCUUGUAGUC